AGGACGAACGCUGGCGGCGUGCUAACACAUGCAAGUCGAGCGGUAAGGCUCCUUCGGGAGUACACGAGCGGCGAACGGGUGAGUAACACGUGAACAAUCUGCCCCGCACUUUGGAAUAACCUUCGGAAACGAAGGCUAAUACCAGAUACCCCCGCGGUCUCGCAUGAGUCCGCGGGAAAAGCUCCGGCGGUGCGGGAUGAGUUCGCGGCCUAUCAGCUUGUUGGUGAGGUAAAGGCUUACCAAGGCAUUGACGGGUAGCCGGCCUGAGAGGGUGACCGGCCACACUGGGACUGAGAUACGGCCCAGACUCCUACGGGAGGCAGCAGUGGGGAAUAUUGGACAAUGGGCGCAAGCCUGAAUCCAGCAACGCCGCGUGAGGGAUGACGGCCUUCGGGUUGUAAACCUCUUUCAGCAGGGACGAAGCGCAAGUGACGGUACCUGCAGAAGAAGGACCGGCCAACUACGUGCCAGCCGCGGC
rnacentral:rRNA from 1 species